AGAGCCAGCUGAUCGGGCCUGACUGGCUUAAAAGCACCUCAGUGGAGAAGACAGAAAUUCCUCUUUGGGCUGCCCUAUCCCCGAAGCCACCGUGAUGGGAAUCAGCUCCUGUGAGGCCUUCUCCUGAGGGCGGGGGAGGCCUCUCUCUUGACCCAGCACAGGCAGUGUGUGCAAGGAAGAGGAAGAGCAGGAGGGCAGACAUGUUCGGUGGAUGCACUCAGAGCACCCCCACAGUGCCAGCCUCCUGCAGGCACCUGGUGCAAGUUAGUGAAACAAAUGCACGGACAGGUAAGUAAGGCAAAGAGCUCCCAAGUCGAACUGGCUACAUUCACCAGCCUCUCUACCUUGGAGCAGCCAGGUACCCGGCAUUUCUGACCCUCCUUGUACUCACCCGAAGAGGGGACAACUACAGUGCCUGUGCUCGUGGGGCCACUGUGAAGACUGCAUGAAUUCCACCUGGACACCUCGCCAACAUCUUGAGGUCAGCUUGUGCUGAUCUCCAGAAUCCAUCCCCUCCCACCCCCGCUGCCCUGCUUCUACCUCUUCUCAGGCUCACCCAGUGUUACGGGCACUUCCCCUGCCCCAGGCCCUACAGCACCCAGCCUCUCCUUCAGCCUGGGGAGAAGGGAAGGGAGCAAAGGACUGUGGGAAGAAGGGAAGACAGCAGGGCUGGAAGCCUGCUUUAGGUACAACUAGGGGCCUUUUAAAUCUGCCACAAUGCUAUGUAGAAGAGACAAAAAUAAAUAUUGGAAAGGAAAUA